ACCCCGAUCCCAAGCACCAAGGAGCCGACGAUUUGGAUCAAAACCUACAUCCCAAGCACCAAGGUGCCUGGUUGAUAUGGUUCACGAUCCCGAUCUGGAGCUCCAGGGCGCCGAGGAUUUCGAUCAAGAUCCCGAUCUGAAGCACCGAGUAGCCGAGGAUAUGGAUCAAGACCCCGGUCCGAAGCGACAAGGAGGCAAGGAUUUGGAUCGCCACUCCGAUCAAAGGCACCAAGGCGUCGAGGGAUUGGAUCGAGAUCCCGGUCCCAAUCAUGAAGUAGGCUAUGUUAUUUCCUGUAUUCCACACCGUUCAGGGCAUUUUGGUGGUCGUAUCGGCUUUUUGUUGCUUGCUUGGCGUUACUGCCAAGGGAGUGGCUGGAAGCUAGGUCGUUCUCUGGAAUGCUUGUUGUAAAGGUGUAUGAGUUGUGUUUGGCUUGUUACGGGUGUUUGUUGGCUGCUUGUGCAGGAACUUUCAUGCGUCCAAGCCUCUUCAGUUGUGCUACAAGGCCUUGUUUGUCUUGUGCAUACGGUGGGUUUCCUGUGUUGCAUACCUAAUCAAGGGCAUCGUAUGGCUUGAUCGAAGUAAAUAUUCGUAAUGCGCUGCUUGCGGCGUUGAACGAACCUCGAAGUGGUCUCUGUGGCCCAUGUUGUCCUUGCUCAUGCAUGGAUGGCAUGGCCCUCGGAGCGUCGCUUGGUCUCUUGGAUACGGAACCUGAUGAUGUGGGCGGUAGGGUCUUUGAUGAUUCUACCUUCGC
rnacentral:misc_RNA from 1 species